rnacentral:lncRNA from 1 species
GCCUGUAUGUAUGAUAUAUUUGUGUUUUCUUAAAAAGGGAAAUGGUAGGGAAUAUGUAUAUAUCUUGCUAUACAACAAAGAGAAACUCAAUUCUUCAUAAGUUUUGUUUGUAGUGGAAAAUUCAUGUUUCUUGAUUUAAACUCAAUUCUUCACUCAGAAAGGUUUGAAUUGAAAUUGUUACAUGUUCAACUUAUAGCUUUAAUUUUGAGUUUCUGGAUGAAAGUUCUUGAAUUUGAUAGGAAAGGGCCUUGAGCUGAUUGGAUAGGGUGAGCAAAAGAUGGCAUGCAAGGAGCCAUGAUAGGUAGAGAAGAACAUUAUCUCUGGAAAGGUGGAAUGAUGAUUCAUACCGCAUCACUGGAUAAGAUGUUGGUAAA